UACGAAUUGUUAAAGCGUUAAUCGGCAUUACUGGGCGUAAAGCGCGCGUAGGUGGUUCGUUAAGUUGAAUGUGAAAGCCCCGGGCUCAACCUGGGAACUGCAUCCAAAACUGGCGAGCUAGAGUAUGGCAGAGGGUGGUGGAAUUUCCUGUGUAGCGGUGAAAUGCGUAGAUAUAGGAAGGAACACCAGUGGCGAAGGCGACCACCUGGGAUAAUACUGAAACUGAGGGGCGAAAGCGUGGGGCGCCAACAGGAUUAGAUACC
rnacentral:rRNA from 1 species